rnacentral:piRNA from 1 species
UGACUGUCCACUCUAUGACUCUUAGAC